AUUGAACGCUGGCGGCAGGCCUAACACAUGCAAGUCGAGCGAGCGGCGGACGGGUGAGUAAUGUCUGGGAAACUGCCUGCUGGCGGGGGAUAACUACUGGAACCGGUAGCUAAUACCGCAUACCAUCGGAUGUGCCCAGAUUGGAUUCGCUAGUAGGUGGGGUAAAGUCUCACCUAGGCGACGAUCCCUAGCUGUGCUGAGAGGAGGACCAGCCAAACUAGAACUGAGACACGGUCCAGACUCCUACGGGAGGCAGCAGGGGGGAAUAUUGCACAAUGGGCGCAAGCCUGAUGCAGCCAUGCCGCGUGUAUGAAGAAGGCCUUCGGGUUGUAAAGUACUUUCAGCGGGGAGGCGUUACCCGCAGAAGAAGCACCGGCUAACUCCGUGCCAGCAGCCGCGGUAAUAC
rnacentral:rRNA from 1 species